rnacentral:rRNA from 1 species
GUGUACUGCGGAGACAUUGUCGAUCCUGCUCAAGCAGAACGACCCGCGAACACGUGAAAACAACCAUGUCGGGGAUCGGAGAGGGGCGUGUUAGCCCCCGACCGACCCCUUCGCCGUGCUGCGGAUCCGGCCGCAUGCGGACGACCGCGGUUCGGUACAAACAAAAAACCCGGCGCAACAGGCGUCAAGGAAAUCUUAGCGGAAACAAGGCUUAGACCCACUUGUGGGGCGACGCCAAGAAUCCGAUAUUUGAACGACUCUCGGCAACGGAUAUCUCGGCUCUUGCAUCGAUGAAGAACGUAGCGAAAUGCGAUACUUGGUGUGAAUUGCAGAAUCCCGUGAACCAUCGAGUCUUUGAACGCAAGUUGCGCCCGAGGCCUUCUGGCCGAGGGCACGUCUGCCUGGGCGUCACGCACAGCGUCGCCCCCGACCACACCUGUUGUGGUAGGGGAGCGGAGAUUGGCCCCCCGAGCCCCCGUUGGCACGGUCGGCACAAAUGUUGGUCCCUGGCAGCGGUCGCCGCGGUCAAGUGGUGGCUUUAAAUACCAUUUCGGUGACCAGUUGGCGUCGUUCCCUAGUUGGGACCGAAUCGACCCGUAGAAGGCCGUUACGACGGCUUUUCACCCUGCGACCCCAGGUCAGGCGGGAUUACCCGCUGAAUUUAAGCAUAUCAAGGGACGGGGAGGAAAA